rnacentral:misc_RNA from 1 species
CCGUCAAUUCCUUUGAGUUUUAGCCUUGCGACCGUACUUCCCAGGCGGUCCACUUAACACUUUUGCUUCGACCAUGACGGCGUCAGAGCCGCCACAAUCUAGUGGACAUCGUUUAGGGCCAGGACUACCGGGGUAUCUAAUCCCGUUUGCUCCCCUGGCUUUCGCGUCUCAGUGUCAGAUCACUCCCAGCAGCCUGCUUUCGCCUUUGGCGUUCCAAAUGAUAUCUACGCAUUUCACCGCUCCACCAUUUGUUCCAGCUGCCCCUAAGUGCCUCAAGACAAGCAGUAUAUCCAGCAGUUCCACGGUUGAGCCGUGGGAUUUCACAAGAUACUUACCCGUCCACCUACACGCGCUUUAAGCCCAGUGAUUCCGCCUAACGCUUGGCACCUCUGUAUUACCG